AACAAAAGCAAAUGAGGUAGUCAAAGGACUAGACCAAUGACCUCUGAAAGAGAUUUAGUUCCACCAGAUGUGAAGUUGCUUCUUUCAAAAGUGAAGGACUUAAAAGAUGUGAUAAAAAACUGACACUUUACUUAUAUUCAUGUUUAAAAACUGGGACUACUCACAUGCAUAAAUUCUUGUUGUAUUGUUCCCUUGGCCUAACAGUGGUGUCCUAAUAUUCACGAAUCUAAUAUAUGCAGCUAUAUUCCUGCCAUGUAGCUACAACUGUUUUAACCAAGGAGAAAAUGAAGGUUAUUUUAAUGUAAACAUAACAUAGUAAAGUUUUUAAACGCUUUUCCUUUAUUUUGGUUAAAUCAUAUGAUGUCUUUUUCUAAAAAAGUCCAUAGUCAUAAACAGAAAAUCAAUGAGGAUGAUGGGUACCUCCUCUGAAACGCAAAGAAAGAAUUUGACUCUGUGGCUUGAAACUGCCUAAUCUAGAAUUAAUUUUCUUUAAUCAUAGUAUUGACACUUCAGUUGCUUAUCUUGGAAAUGUGGUGGAAACACAACUGCUUCCUCUGAGGAACUGAAUUGCAGCCAUAUGCAGUUUCCUUCCUAACCUGCACAGGUGAAACAAGGAUAUUUUCCCCAGCAUGGCUUUCUGAACCUCGCCACUGAAAUGCAGCAGAGCAAGACAGCUGCAAUUUUAAAGCAGCCAUUUUGGAAGUAGUUACUACUUGCGCUUUGUUCUCCUAUCUGUAGAACAGCGAGUUGGCAACAGAUCUGCUGUGAAAGUUGUGAUACUUUAAAGGACAAAUAUUCUGCUGUGCUUUUCAAAACUUCAAAACAGCACUCUUUCCUUGUCUCCCUAGAGUCAUCUGAAGCUUGCCACGAUGCAGACCUAGAGCUGAAUUUUGCCUGGAAUUUAGGUUCCAGCCUAUAUUCAAAGUAUGGUAUGCAUAUACCCAGUUGUUCCCUA
rnacentral:lncRNA from 1 species